rnacentral:pre_miRNA from 1 species
AAUAAACCAAUCUUUUACUUUUUACCUAUAAUAUUUGACUCUUCGUCUUGCUUAAAAAAAUUUACAAUUAAUAUUUUUGUUUUUAUUAGAUGAUAAAUCAUGAAUAGUACUUUACGUGUAACUAUUUUUUUUUGAAAAGUUUUCAAAUAAGACGGAUGGUUAAAAGCUGGACACGGAUGGUCAAAAGUUAGCCUAAU